ACGUAGGGUGCAAGCGUUGUCCGGAAUUAUUGGGCGUAAAGAGCUCGUAGGCGGUUUGUCGCGUCUGCUGUGAAAUCCCGAGGCUCAACCUCGGGUCUGCAGUGGGUACGGGCAGACUAGAGUGUGGUAGGGGAGAUUGGAACUCCUGGUGUAGCGGUGGAAUGCGCAGAUAUCAGGAAGAACACCAAUGGCGAAGGCAGAUCUCUGGGCCAUUACUGACGCUGAGGAGCGAAAGCGUGGGGAGCGAACAGG
rnacentral:rRNA from 1 species